GGGUUGUGAGGUUAAGCGACUAAGCGUACACGGUGGAUGCCCUGGCAGUCAGAGGCGAUGAAGGGCGUGCUAAUCUGCGAUAAGCGCCGGUAAGGUGAUAUGAACCGUUAUAACCGGCGAUACCCGAAUGGGGAAACCCAGUGUGAUUCGUCACACUAUCAUUAACUGAAUCCAUAGGUUAAUGAGGCGAACCGGGGGAACUGAAACAUCUAAGUACCCCGAGGAAAAGAAAUCAACCGAGAUUCCCCCAGUAGCGGCGAGCGAACGGGGAGGAGCCCAGAGCCUGAAUCAGCAUGUGUGUUAGUGGAAGCGUCUGGAAAGGCGCGCGAUACAGGGUGACAGCCCCGUACACAAAAGCGCAUGUGCUGUGAGCUCGAUGAGUAGGGCGGGACACGUGGUAUCCUGUCUGAAUAUGGGGGGACCAUCCUCCAAGGCUAAAUACUCCUGACUGACCGAUAGUGAACCAGUACCGUGAGGGAAAGGCGAAAAGAACCCCGGCGAGGGGAGUGAAAAAGAACCUGAAACCGUGUACGUACAAGCAGUGGGAGCACAGGUUUACCUGUGUGACUGCGUACCUUUUGUAUAAUGGGUCAGCGACUUAUAUUCUGUAGCAAGGUUAACCGUAUAGGGGAGCCGUAGGGAAACCGAGUCUUAACCGGGCGUUAAGUUGCAGGGUAUAGACCCGAAACCCGGUGAUCUAGCCAUGGGCAGGUUGAAGGUUGGGUAACACUAACUGGAGGACCGAACCGACUAAUGUUGAAAAAUUAGCGGAUGACCUGUGGCUGGGGGUGAAAGGCCAAUCAAACCGGGAGAUAGCUGGUUCUCCCCGAAAGCUAUUUAGGUAGCGCCUCGUGAAUUCAUCUCCGGGGGUAGAGCACUGUUUCGGCUAGGGGGCCAUCCCGGCUUACCAACCCGAUGCAAACUGCGAAUACCGGAGAAUGUUAUCACGGGAGACACACGGCGGGUGCUAACGUCCGUCGUGAAGAGGGAAACAACCCAGACCGCCAGCUAAGGUCCCAAAGUCAUGGUUAAGUGGGAAACGAUGUGGGAAGGCCCAGACAGCUAGGAUGUUGGCUUAGAAGCAGCCAUCAUUUAAAGAAAGCGUAAUAGCUCACUGGUCGAGUCGGCCUGCGCGGAAGAUGUAACGGGGCUAAACCAUGCACCGAAGCUGCGGCAGCGAACGUAUCACUUAAAGCGAUUCAGCGGGUUACGAUUGACGGAGCGAAGCGACGUCAAAGCGUAUACAAAGUCGAGUCGGUUUAAGGAUACGUUCGUUGGGUAGGGGAGCGUUCUGUAAGCCUGUGAAGGUGGCCUGUGAGGGUUGCUGGAGGUAUCAGAAGUGCGAAUGCUGACAUAAGUAACGAUAAAGCGGGUGAAAAGCCCGCUCGCCGGAAGACCAAGGGUUCCUGUCCAACGUUAAUCGGGGCAGGGUGAGUCGACCCCUAAGGCGAGGCCGAAAGGCGUAGUCGAUGGGAAACGGGUUAAUAUUCCCGUACUUGGUGUUACUGCGAAGGGGGGACGGAGAAGGCUAUGUUGGCCGGGCGACGGUUGUCCCGGUUUAAGCGUGUAGGUGUGUGUUCCAGGUAAAUCCGGUUCACUUUAACACUGAGGCGUGAUGACGAGGCACUACGGUGCUGAAGCAACAAAUGCCCUGCUUCCAGGAAAAGCCUCUAAGCAUCAGGUAACAUCAAAUCGUACCCCAAACCGACACAGGUGGUCAGGUAGAGAAUACCAAGGCGCUUGAGAGAACUCGGGUGAAGGAACUAGGCAAAAUGGUGCCGUAACUUCGGGAGAAGGCACGCUGACACGUAGGUGAAGUGAUUUACUCACGGAGCUGAAGUCAGUCGAAGAUACCAGCUGGCUGCAACUGUUUAUUAAAAACACAGCACUGUGCAAACACGAAAGUGGACGUAUACGGUGUGACGCCUGCCCGGUGCCGGAAGGUUAAUUGAUGGGGUCAGCGCAAGCGAAGCUCCUGAUCGAAGCCCCGGUAAACGGCGGCCGUAACUAUAACGGUCCUAAGGUAGCGAAAUUCCUUGUCGGGUAAGUUCCGACCUGCACGAAUGGCGUAAUGAUGGCCAGGCUGUCUCCACCCGAGACUCAGUGAAAUUGAACUCGCUGUGAAGAUGCAGUGUACCCGCGGCAAGACGGAAAGACCCCGUGAACCUUUACUAUAGCUUGACACUGAACAUUGAGCCUUGAUGUGUAGGAUAGGUGGGAGGCUUUGAAGCGUGGACGCCAGUCUGCGUGGAGCCGACCUUGAAAUACCACCCUUUAAUGUUUGAUGUUCUAACGUGGACCCGUAAUCCGGGUUGCGGACAGUGUCUGGUGGGUAGUUUGACUGGGGCGGUCUCCUCCUAAAGAGUAACGGAGGAGCACGAAGGUUGGCUAAUCCUGGUCGGACAUCAGGAGGUUAGUGCAAUGGCAUAAGCCAGCUUGACUGCGAGCGUGACGGCGCGAGCAGGUGCGAAAGCAGGUCAUAGUGAUCCGGUGGUUCUGAAUGGAAGGGCCAUCGCUCAACGGAUAAAAGGUACUCCGGGGAUAACAGGCUGAUACCGCCCAAGAGUUCAUAUCGACGGCGGUGUUUGGCACCUCGAUGUCGGCUCAUCACAUCCUGGGGCUGAAGUAGGUCCCAAGGGUAUGGCUGUUCGCCAUUUAAAGUGGUACGCGAGCUGGGUUUAGAACGUCGUGAGACAGUUCGGUCCCUAUCUGCCGUGGGCGCUGGAGAACUGAGGGGGGCUGCUCCUAGUACGAGAGGACCGGAGUGGACGCAUCACUGGUGUUCGGGUUGUCAUGCCAAUGGCACUGCCCGGUAGCUAAAUGCGGAAGAGAUAAGUGCUGAAAGCAUCUAAGCACGAAACUUGCCCCGAGAUGAGUUCUCCCUGAGACUUUAGGUCUCCUGAAGGAACGUUGAAGACGACGACGUUGAUAGGCCGGGUGUGUAAGCGCAGCGAUGCGUUGAGCUAACCGGUACUAAUGAACCGUGAGGCUUAACCUUACAACGCCGAAG
rnacentral:rRNA from 1 species